AGGCUUAGAAAUGGGCGCAGAGUCAGCCAAUCAAGGGCGGGAAAACUCGGAGGGUUGAAAAUGGGGCGCAUGCGCAAUAGCAGAAGCAGCGGGCGGGUCCAGGCUCAGCCGCCAGCCAGGCUGCACCCGGUUGUGGCAGCCACGGGCAGGGGCGGAGCCCGCCGUAUAUGGGAGCUGCUUGGGGACAAACUGUGUAGGGUGCGCUCUCGGGCGGGCAGGGCUACAACACCCUACCAGCUGUAGAGUCGCUGAGAGCAACCAAGACAACCAAGAACAGCAGCCUACACAUGUUCAUAAUCCUCUGAUUCCAACACCACCUUGCGAUUUGACACAACCGACAAAGUGCUGCGGCCCACGGAACAGGAACAGCAAGCCUGCGGAUUUUAAACUAGAAGCAGCGAGGUUUCUCGCCAGAGAAAUGACUAACAGCCACCCCUUGAUUAAUUUACUCUCUGCACCAAGAAAAAUGAAUAAACAGGAAGGUUUUAAAGGGC
rnacentral:lncRNA from 1 species